GAUCCGGCGGCAGCGGACGAGGACGAUGAGGAGGAACGCUGGGUCGGGCCGCUCCCGGGGGAAGCCGCGCAGGCGAAGAAAAGGAGAGUUCUUGAAUUCGAACAUGUUUAUCUUGAAAAUCUUCCGUCAGCUUCAAUGUAUGAAUGCAGUUACAUGCACAGAGAUGUUAUUACACACGUGGCAUGUACAAAGACAGAUUUUAUCAUAACAGCCAGUCAUGAUGGACAUGUAAAAUUCUGGAAGAAAAUAGAAGAAGGGAUUGAGUUUGUUAAACACUUCCGAAGUCAUUUGGGUGUUAUUGAGAGUAUUGCUGU